rnacentral:misc_RNA from 1 species
UACGGAGGGGGCUAGCGUUGUUCGGAAUUACUGGGCGUAAAGAGCGUGUAGGUGGCUUGGCAAGUUAGAAGUGAAAGCCCGAGGCUUAACCUCGGAAUUGCUUCUAAAACUGCUUGGCUCGAGGUCGAUAGGGGGUGGUGGAAUUCCUAGUGUAGAGGUGAAAUUCUUAGAUAUUAGGAAGAACACCGGUGGCGAAGGCGACCACCUGGAUCGCACCUGACACUGAGACGCGAAAGCGUGGGUAGCAAACAGG